UUCAGAGGCCCUGAUGCUAACACAGGGACCCCUGAGCCAGCUCUGACUGUCCUGCACCUCAGACUGCACCUUCCCACUCCUGAGUGGUAUCCUGGGGCAUCUCUAUAGCUCAAUAUCUGCCCAGUGAUGGCAUGGGGUAAACCCAGUUCUCCAUGGCUGCUGGAUGACUACACAUUUAUUAUGUUUUUCCUUUCCCCCAAGUCUUCCCAUUCCUAGGGGUGGGAACAAAAUCAUAGAAGAAAAAGUUACUAACCUGAAGGAGAUGCCUAUCAAGGUAAAAGAAGCAUGUAGAACUCUGAUUAAAUUGGACCAGAAGGAAAGUCCUAUUGGGAAAUUAUAAUCUAAACACUACAUUAAGGAACAAAGAAAGGAUAUUAAAAACUGCAAGAGAAAAAUAUCAAAUAGUACAUAAUUCAGACCUAUUAGAAUAAUACCUGAUCUUUCAAUGGAGACUAUAAAAACCAGAAGGACCUGCGCAGAUGUUCUACAAACUCUAAGUGAUCACAAAUGCCAGCAUAGACUAUACCAAACAAAACUUUCAAUCACAAUAAAUGGAAAAAAUGAUACAGUAAUGAUAAAGCCAAAUUUAAGUAAUAUCUAUCUGCAAAUCCAGACCUACAGAAGGUUCUAGAAGGAAAACUCCAGCUGAAAGAGGCUGAGGACACCGAAGACAAUACAAGGAACAAAUAAUCUCAAAUCAUCAAAUCAAAAGAGGGAAACAAACACAUGUGCAUAUGCAUCUACACAUAUACAAAUAUACCACCACAACAAAAUAACAGGAAUAAUAAACACUGAUUACUGAUAUCUA